UUCAUCAAGAAUUUACCAUUAUUAUAUCAUUAGUGUAUAAAAAUUAUACUCUUAUAAUUAUAAUGUUAAAUAAAAAAUAAAAAGAAUGUAAGGUCACACUCCACACUAAUAAAUUGCAUAAAGUUUGAUGUUAGGCAUAAAUUAAAUUGCAUUUAUUUAUUUAUUUAUAACAUGUUUGAUCUCCUUCUGCCUUCAAUCAGGUAGAAGACACAUAUUUAAUUUUGAUUGAUGACAUCUCAUUGGGGUAACGUUACCAAAGUUUUUGUUUGUCACCUAAUAACCACCUCAAACGACUAUAAAUUAGAGAUAUUUUAUUAAUUAAUGAUAACUUUUCAAAAAAUAAAAAUCUACCCGACCAAUUUUGAGCGAGUCACAUCUAUGUAUCAACCCUGAUUCGACCUUCUUUUAAAAAAAAAUACCUUGUAUGAUAAAAUAACAUAAUAAAUUCCAAUUUAUUUUCCUAUAAAUGCUAUUCUUGUUUUUUACAGUUUCAUAAUUACCAAUUGAGAAAUGGCCUCUAUAAAGUCACUAGCAAUAUUCCUGCUUGUAGUGGUGUUGUUCACAACUAUGGUGUUGGCAAAUAACACACCAUUCAAAACAGCUAAUGAAGAGAAAGUGCAAAUUGAGAAAUCACUACCAAAUUAUGAGACUCGUUAUGAAACACUUGGAGUUAUCAAACCUAAUAAACCAAAGACACCAAAAAAGCAUAGUAUCACCCCAUGAAAUGUUAUCCUUUUAUUAAGCAGUUUUGAGAUGUCAUGUAAUAUGUGCUUCUGCAAAAAAAUGUGUCAAAAGAAUUAAGUACGAUAUAUUGUCGUGUUUAUACUGUUAAUGCCACAUUAAUUAAUAUCCGUAGUGCUCUUUUAAUUGAUUUCAUUUGCUUAUAAGAAUAAAACUGGCUAAAUAAUGCAAGUCUUGCGUGAGUUUUGGUUCAUAUUUAUUAAAUAUUCAUCCGAUCUUAAUAAAAGUUUUGGAGAUUUUUUUAAUCAUGUAUAUAAGAUGUAUUUAUUGUUUAAAUUAUUUUUAUAUUUUAAUUUAAAAUAUUUGUCUUCUAUUAUUAUUAUUAAUAAUAAAUAUUUAAUGUCUCACAGUUUUCAAUAAAAAUAUAUUUGUAAAAAUUAUCAAAAAAUUAAAACAAUUACUAAAUAUAUUGAUUUUUAUGUUUUUUGUUUUUUUUCUCUUAUAAAUGAGGCUAGAGAGAGUAAUAUAGUAUCAUAUUAGCUGCAAAUAAAAAAUCUUUGAACCAAGGACCAUAGUAUUAUUAUUAUUUGAGGAUUUUAUCACGCAUCCCCUACAUUUAAACCUGUCACCCUCAAUCAACAUGAAAAUACAA
rnacentral:lncRNA from 1 species